ensembl:lncRNA
AAACCAUCCCUGCAUGCCUGGGAUGAAGCCUACUUGAUCAUGUUGGAUGAUUGUUUUGAUGUGCUCUUGGAUUCGGUUUGCCAGAAUUUUAUUUCCUCUCUCUUCUUGAGAGAGUUGGCAUACCCUAUUUUUUCAAAUCUUUCUCUGAUUCAUCCAAUAUCUUUCUGCAUCUCUUAUUUCUUUGAGUCCUACCUUUCAUGUGUAAGCUUCUCUUACUGGAUUAGAUCUUUAUCAAUUUUGAUGGCAUCCAUAGUUUUUCAUAGGUAAAACCUCUUCCCCAACUUAACACAUCUCUGAGUUCCAUUCUGCUGUUAAAAUAUCUUUAAUGUAUACAGGUCGAUCUAAUUCAGUGAGAGCGGGGAAUUUCCUAGUCUUUCAAAUCUUUCUCUAAUUUGUCACGUUGUCUGCUACUGAACUAGACAUCAAUUUCAAACAUGGAUACUUCCUCCUCCAAGCUAACAUUACCUUCGUUAUUUAGGAUUAAAAUGUAAGAGUGUGUUUGUAUUCCAGACAGAGAGACUAAAGGUGUGUGCUAAGGGUGGGCCACACCACAACUGGAAACAGCUCUCCUUUUUCUUUUUCAACAAAUAACACAAUCUCGGGAUUCACAAAGCGAUCAAUGUCCUGCAACACUGAUGUCCCACAACAUUGAUGUCCUGCAACACUGAUGUCCUGCAGAGGUGGCAGCACUGAAGGGCAUCAUCCUUGACGAUGUCUUACAUAAAUGUGAAAGGCUCUUCUCCUGGGAGGCUAUGUAUCCGGCACUUCAGUGGUAGUGGGCUGCAUGGAGCAUUUUCAGUCCAAGCAGAAUCUUUUAACCUUUUGCCCACUGUGCAGAGAUUUUGUUCAAAAAAAUAUCAAAGGCACAUAUUAAUGGGUAGUUUUGGACAGAUACGUACCACAAAGUAUGAGAAAUACCCACCUUUUAGCAUGAAAUAUAAUUUGAGGAAGUUGUUGGGGUCCAAGAGUCACCUCAUAAAUCACAUGAACACCUAUUUCAGUCAGACAGAUAUAGUUUAGUGAACAUUCACUAGAUUAAGGCUGCAGACCAGAUCAGAAGCUGGCUGUGACAUUGAAUCCAGAUUGUAUAGGGUUUGAAAGCCUGAAAUCCACAAACAUCUGUGUCAGGUUAUUGGAUUUAGGGAUAGGAUCAUGUCUUUGUUAUACAUUUAUCUUGUUCUCAUUGGUUGGGUUCUUUAACUGUGGCAGGGCACUUGCCUUGCCUAACUUUCCUGUCUUAACUUGUCAACCAGGAUUUGACCUACUCAUAUACAUGUCUCUUUCUGCCAAGUAGAAUGUCAAUUCCUAUGGAGGUCUUGGGAACUUAAAUUUUAUUCAAUCCCUACUUAAAAUAGAAGUCUUAUUCUAAAUAGCUUCUUAUAUUGUGUAGGUGUUAAGAUUUAUUUAUUUUAUGUACGUGAGUAUACUGUCACUGUGUUCAGACCUACCACAAGAGGGCAUCAGAUCUCAUUAGAGAUGGUUGUGAGCCACAUUGUGGUUGCUGGGAACUGAACUCAGUGCUUUUAACUACUGAGCAUCUCUCCAGCCCCAUAUGUGUCUUUCUUAUGUUGGGGUCACUUCUAGGGGCAGCUUAUAAAUGCCAAAAGCAUAAAAGCUCAUACAUAGGUGCAGGAAGUGAUGCUGGGUGGUUAGUUCAGGUCCAAGCUUAUUGUGGCUAACUAUACAAAGUAGUACUACUGACUUCUAUUAUAAUUGGUUUCCAAGAACACCACAGCACAGAACAUAACAGAACAUAUUAUCACCAAGGACAUGAGAAAGUUUCCUACUAACAGCAGUAACAGCAUAUGAGAAAAGUUUCUUAUAACAUGAGUAACAGCAUAAAAUGGCAGGCUAGACAGCUAAUAGCUACCCAGGCCUAAACAUUUUACCAAGGCCUUAACAUAAAUGUCAUCCAGUCUUAAGAACAAUUAAUUAGUUUUGUCAUAUGGUAGCUAGGUUGGGCUUCUCAGAUGUAAAAGGUACAUAAAUUAGUUCCUAUUGUUAUAUAUAAAAAUUCAUAUAAAUGUAGUGAGCUAAAUUAGGUCCAUUCGUGUGUUUACAUGUAACAGCGUUCUCUCUCAGUAUGACAAAGGGUUGAAAUCAUGUUGGGAUGAAUUCAUCACUAGAGCUUAAGGUCAUGUUCCCACAUGUUUUUGUUCCUGGCAGAACCUAGUUCUUUGUGGUUGCAGAAUUGAGCCCCCUGAUUUCUUGCUAGCAGGCAACUGGGAUAAUAUCCUAGCUCUGCAAGGCUUCUUACAAGUACCGGGUCCAUGUCUCCCUCCACCUCCAAAGCCAGUCCUGGAGAAGACCUAGUCUGACUUUAUACUCAUGUUUUCUUAAACAUUUAACUGAUUAGGUCACAGUCACUCUGAUAAUCUUAUUUUCAAAUAAUUUGAUCUCCACUCUUUUCCCAGCCAUUGGAACAACAGUCCAUUAUAUUCACAGUUCUGCUCAAGUUGAGAAGGAGGGAAUGUAUAAGUCAUGUACAAUAGGCUAUGGUAGUAUUGGGCGCCAUCUUAGAAUUCUGCUGGCAACGUAGACCAUGGUCUUAAGAAGGUGGCUCUAACAAUGUGUGAAGGAUACAUGAGCAAGGAGAGUGGGGGGGGAUGCAGGAAAAUGGGAUAACACUUGAAAUGUAAAUAAAGAGAAUAUCCAAUAAAACAAAGGAAAAAGAAAAAAACGUAAUAUACAGCAAACCAAUAGCCAACAUCAAAUUAAAUGGAGAGAACCGUGAUAGAAUCUUACUAAAGUCAGGGACACGACAAGGCUGCCCACUGUCUCUCUAUCUACUCAAUAUAUACUAGUUAAAUGAUAAAUGGGCUAAGAAAGAAAUAAGGGGAACAAUACCCUUCACAAAGCCAGAAAUAAUAUCACAUAUCUUGGUGUAACUCUAACAAAGCAAGUGAAAGUCCUAUAUGACAAGAAAUUCAAAUCUUUGAUGGAAGAAAUUGAAGAAGCAUCCACAAAUGGGAAGAUCUUUCAUAUUCAUGGAUCAGUAGGAUUAACAAUAGCAAAAAUGGCCAUCUUACCAAACACAUCUACAAAUUCAGCAGAAUACGCAUCAGAAUUCAAACACAGUUCUUUACAGACCUUGGUAGAAUAAUAGUCAUAUUGAAUUACAGGAACCAGUUUAUAGGACAUUGCUGAGAUCUCCUCUAAUUUCAAAGGAGAUGUAGAUCUUUUUGUUAGUUUUCACUAUAUCUAGUAUGUUCAGCACUAUAACUAGUAUGUUCAGCCUGAUAUAAAUCUUGAAAUAUCAGAUUGUAGGUAGACAUCUUGGUCUAGAGCUCAGGAGAGAGAGAGCAAGAGCUGGGACAUUUUUACAGUGGAAGUUUUGUUUUUGUUUUUUGUUUUUUUUGUUUUUUUGAUGAAUGUGAAGGAUAUUAAAAAGACAUUUAUGUCUUUAUUGCAUUGUUAAAAAAUGUGACAAAAAUGAAUAGUGUCGGCAAAAUGGUUGAAUUUACUUCCUUAGCAUACAUAGCCCUGGACAGUGUGGAGCUCAUUGGAAUAUCAUACAAAAUAAAAAUAAUAGUUACAGCCACGGCCACGAAGGGAAUCAAGAGCUACACUUUGCUGAAUUGCUUAAUUAAGGUAAUGCUAGUGUAAGGUGAUGGACUCUGGAGAGGGCAUAUUGAGCCUCAUUCAGUUUUUAAUCAAUUAGCAUAUGACCUUUGUUGAAUUUCAUAAUUCUGUCAGGCUUGUAAUUCUGGCCACUUGAAAGGUAGAAGCAGGAAGAUCACAACUUUAAGACCUGACCUAUGCAGACAGUUCUAAGCUAGUCUGGGAAACUUAGCAGGGUUCUGUGUCUCCAUCUACAAAUUGGAAAAAUGUAAGUGGAUACAGCCCAAUGAGUUCUUAUCCAGCAUUUGUGAAUUCCAGGAUUUCAUCCAGAGAACACAUAAAUGAAUAAAAGGAAGGAAAUAUAAAAAAAAUAAAAGACACAAAGUUGAUUUACCCUCAGCUUUCCUGUCUAUGGCAGUAGGGAAUAGUAGUACUAAUCUAUAGAAGUAUUUAAGUUUUCAAAUACAAGAGAGUUAAUGCUUAGAAUGGAGCUGUAGGCAUGGAAAAAUAUAGUAUGUUAGUUAUUAUAUAUAUUAUGAGUACCAUUACCAUUUAUCAUCCAUACAGUUGUAUAGCCUGUAUAGAGGUGGUCUUCUUAUACAACAGUAUGAAGUAAGUUGAGAGAUAUUUGACAAGCCUUAGGAAUAAGGAGUGAAGUUUAUAUUUAAAUUCCACUUAGUAGCACUGGUACAAUGCACGACCUCCUAGGUUUGACCCGUAUGUCAAUACUAAGUACAGACAAUUGAAAUGGAAACUUCUGGUUUCUUUGGAAAGUCAGUUAUGUCAAAUGAUGUUUUGCUGUGGCACAUAGGUGAAAGGAUGUUUUGCUAAGCAGAAACAUGAAAGAACAUGUGAUGUUUAGAAAAAAUAUAAGUAUGACCCUUCAGACAGUGGGAGCUGGAGCAUCGGCUUACCAUGCUCUACCCCACUGGUCUUCACUGAUGACACACAUGUACUGGUUUACCUUACAUGGUACUAUUGAGUUUAGCCUGUGGUGAAUGUGGAGAGAAACUCAUGAAAGAACUUCUGAUGAGUUUCCUGCAGCUUCUUGGCAACUCUGUGGACCCGGGCCAGUUGGCCAGCCUUGAAGUUUCUUGUAGAUUGAAAUGUCCCUGCUGAAUUGUGUUUGGUGUUUGCUAGUAGACUAGACUGAGAAAAGGAAAGAUUGGAAUUACCCACAAAAAACUAUUUUUAAACAAGUCCACUUCCCCUGCAUCCUAAUAACCUUUCUUUUGCACUACCUCUGGUAGAUGGUGGGCCAGAGGUGAGGCUGAACCCUUAUUAAAGUAAGCUGUGAAAAAUACAGACAAUGUCAUCCAAUGAGUUUUCUCUUGUUAGGUAGUACCAGUUGUGGCUGAUGCAUGUCCAAUGUGGAAUCUAGUGUACAAGGACUCUACAGUUGAUGGAAAGUUGUCAUCAUCAUUGGCUUUACCAUGAGCCAUAAUGAGACUGAACUAAAUUGAUACGAUAUUCUAUUUUCUUAGUUGACCCACAUUGUUUAUUUGUCUGCUGUUAAAUAUUCCCUUUGGUGAGUAGAUUUCUAUAGUGGAAAGGAAUUCAUAUUUCACUCAUUACCUAAUUUCACAUUUAUAUUUGAUAUUAGAGAGAAAAUGUGUAGAAAUUGUAGGCCACCAAACAAAACAGAAGUCAUGAUUAUGGGCAUGGAUUAAAAUGUCCUGCCUGUGUUUGUGUUCUUAGCCUUGUGCUGAAACUAACAAAGAAAUUAUAAUAUGAAAGAACUAUACAAGAAUGAGGGCCUUCAGUAGCACUAAGGACUAUUUAAAUUUUUAUUUUUUGUUGUGUGCAGUACUAUGAAUUUUAACGCAGUAUAGACAGCCAUCAACACAAUUAGACCGAGAAACUUCAUCAUCUCAGUGAGCUCCCAGAGUAGUCUUAAGUGGAUCAUUAGCAAAUAAUAUUAAAUAUUAAUAAUAAGUUAAACACAGAGAUACAAAGAAAUGUGUGAAAAUGACAGAAAGUAAAUUUGAGUAAAGUGGGAAGAACUCUACAUUGGCUAAAAAUUAACUGUAAUUUAGUGGGACUGCCUUAGUAUUUAAAAAAAGUUUUUGUUUUCUUUUAAUCUUUCUCCCGCUAUCUCAGUAUCUAGAAUGUAAAUCAGUGUUCUGUCCUGUGAGACUGAACAUUUCAGAAUAAUUUUUCUUUUAAAUACUAAAGACAUUUGUUUUCUUCUUCCAUUUCCUGGUGGUCUACUCCUGAAGUACAGUCUCUGUGUGCAUGCAAGUGGAGGUAGAAGACAGACUUGGAUGGGGAUCAUCCCUCAAACAUGAUCUAUCAACGUGUUUUGUAUUGGAUUUGAGUCUGAGUCUCUUACAAGCAUCAAUCAUGCCCUAAUAACCAUGCCUAGGAAUACUCCUAUUUCAAUUCAGCAAACAGCUUAAAAUAUGUGCCAACAUGCCCAUAUUUUGUUCUUGUUAAUGUAGGUUGGGCAAGUGUAGAUUGAACUCAGUUCUUCCUGCUUGCAUGGCAAGCACUUUACCCACUGAGCUAUCUCAGUAGCCCUGGAGCUUACCUCAUAAUGAAUUUGAAAGUGCACAAAGCAGUACUGUUACCCAUAGUCUUGCUGCUGUACAGAAAAUUCCAUAAAACUUAUGUUUUUAUAUAACUGAACACUUUCUUUUAUUGGAUGUAAGUUACCACUACCCAACUCUUCUGACCCCUUGCCCAUUCUACCUUUGGCCUCUAUAUUUAAGCUAUUUUAUAACUUCAUCUAAAUGGUAUUGGUAAUAUGAUCUUCCUGCUAUUAGAUCAUUUUAUUUACAGUGCCCCCAAGGUAGAUUUAUACUAUUAAUUAUGAC